AGCUGUCUGCACUGUUGGUUGAAGAUUUCCAAAAUGCCUGAAGAGUGCACUGUCAGCUGCAGAUACCUGAGUCAACAUGAAACCUGUACUUUUUUUCUCAAGGUCAUAUAGCUCUGUAUCAGAUAGCAACAGAGCUUCAGCAAUAACAGCAGAUGCCAUCUUAGAUUAAUGAAACUCUUCAAAACAGGCCAUCAAUCACUGAACAUGUGCAUGAAGAAAUGACCUUCAUGUCUGUUUCUCGUUCUAAAUAAUUUCUCUCUCCUUGUACAAAUUCUUCAAGGAAUGUUGUUAAAAUGGAUGAGGCAAUGUACACAACGCACAGAGCAUCUUGGAAGACAAAUACCCUAUAAAACUAUAGUGUCAUCAUUAUUAUUAUUGUUAUAUUAUAGUGAGAAUUUCUGAGAAGUCAGCUGGCUGAAUAUAUUAUAGUAA